rnacentral:rRNA from 1 species
GACGAACGCUGGCGGCGUGCUUAACACAUGCAAGUCGAACGGAAAGGCCCUGCUUUUGUGGUGUGCUCGAGUGGCGAACGGGUGAGUAACACGUGAGUAACCUGCCCUUGACUUUGGGAUAACUUCAGGAAACUGGGGCUACUACCGGAUAGGAGCUCCUGCUGCAUGGUGGGGGUUGGAAAGUUUCGGCGGGUGGGGAUGGACGCGCGGCUUAUCAGCUUGUUGGUGGGGUAGUGGCUUACCAAGGCUUUGACCGGUAGCCGGCCUGAGAGGGUGACCGGCCACAUUGGUACUGAGAUACGGCCCAGACUGCUACGGGAGGCAGUAGUGGGGAAUAUUGCACAAUGGGCGGAAGCCGGAUGCAGCAACGCCGCGUGCGGGAUGACGGCCUGCGGGGUGUAAACCGCUUUCGCCUGUGACGAAGCGGGAGUGACGGUAAUGGGUAAAGAAGCACCGGCUAACUACGUG